UUCGAGUGGCGGACGGGUGAGUAACGCGUGGGUAACCUGCCUUACACAGGGGGAUAACACCUGGAAACAGGUGCUAAUACCGCAUAAGCGCACAGGGCCGCAUGGCCCGGCGUGUAAAAACUCCGGUGGUGUAAGAUGGAACCCGCGUCUGAUUAGCUUGUUGGCGGGGUAGGGGCCCACCAAGGCGACGAUCAGUAGCCGGCCUGAGAGGGUGGACGGCCACAUUGGGACUGAGACACGGCCCAAACUCCUACGGGAGGCAGCAG
rnacentral:rRNA from 1 species